rnacentral:rRNA from 1 species
AUGAAUAUUGCCCUUCUCUCCCGUUGGCUCUGGCGCAUCGCCCAGGGUCAAGGUGGCCUCUGGCUCGACAUUAUCCAGAAUAAAUACCUGCGGGGUCAGCCCCUAGCCUUCUGCCAGAAAUCGGGCGGCUCUCAGUUCUGGCAGUCUAUUGUCCAGCUUCUCCCGGUGCUCCGCAUUGGGACCUCCAUCUCGGUGGGAUCCGGCCUCUCGACGCUUUUCUGGUUUGAUCGUUGGGCCGGAGAUGCUCCCUUUGCGGCCCGCUUCCCCGCCCUCUUCUCUAUCUCCGUCGACCCCACGAUUUCGGUCAAUAGGGCCCUUCUUGACUUAGGGCGCCUUGCUUUCCGUCGGCCUUUUGGGCCGGCGGAAUCCGCCGCCUGGCGUGAGCUGCUUGAUUGCGUUGCGUUGCAUGAGCCAUUGGUGGAUGGCAGACCGGACCUUGUGCGGUGGCGUCUGGAUCCAUCGGGCUUGUUCUCCACCAAGUCGCUGUACCCGGCCAUUGCCCCAUCCUCCGCUCCCCUCCCCCUAUCGAUGGUGUGGCUCCGCGUUCCCCUGAAGAUCCGCAUAUUCAUGUGGCAGUGGAUUCGCGGCCGGGUCCCGUCUGGAGUGGAGGUCUGCAAGCGCAAUGGCCCGGGCACCGGUAUCUGCCCGCUCUGUGGAGUCCCUGAAGACUCGAACCACAUCUUCUUCUCCUGCGUCUCCGCCCAGUUCCUCUAG